GUUUGUUGUUUGUGAGAGGGUAUUAAAUGACAGACAAAGGAAAGGUGGGGGGGUAAAUUGGCAGGAAGAUCAGAGGUACUGGGGGCUUUGCUAGGCUGUUAAUCAAAAGCCUCUGAGAUAUGGCUUAGGCAUAUAGCAGAGCACUAUGGAGUAUGGUAUGGAUACUACACAUAAAUUUCUCAAAAGAGAUCAAGCUCAAAGAUCCUGGGCUGAAGUGCUAAUGGCUCUUCCCUAAAAACAUCAGCAAGACUCUUGGGAGACAGGCUAUCUUGUGCAAACUGCUUUAUUCUCAAGAAGAACCAAGUUAGUGGUUUUCAGAUUACUGUUAAACUCCUUGAACUCUUGGACUGGAUAAUGUGGAAAUGAUGAGUCAAGACUGGGUCUUUUGGACUGGAGGUUCCUGAGAACUCCACCCUUGCUGAUGACCUCGUUACCAAAUUUUUCACAACAAUUUUGCGUGACCCAGCUGACACAUCAAGCCAUGAACUCUCAAAACCACAAGCUGUAUGUAGCAGGAAGAGGAACAAGUAAAAGCCAUGAGAUGAAAGUGAAAAUGGAAGUCUUGUGAACAAGGCUGGGGAGUGCAUGAGGGGGUUGGCUAUUUUCUCAUUUCAUGGGUCAGUGGGACUGACAGGUAUGUUUGCCAUCUAAAUUUCACUGGCAGGUACCUGAAAAUCAAGAGUGGAAGAGGAAAAAAAAAAAAACCAACAAGAAAACUGCCAUGAUAAUGAAGAAUAAUUUUAAUGCAAAGGGAAAGGACAGAACAAAACUGAUAGAACAAAUAACGGCAAAAAGGGCACAGUUCCAGAUGCAGAUUCUGCCACUCAUAAACUGCAUUCAGACUUCUAUAUACAAGUGAUAAUUUCAUCAAAUAGUUUUUUUCCUUUCUUAAAUAAAAUUAAAGGGGAAUCAGUUUGUUUUCCACUCCUUUCCUACAGUGAAACUGAAAGCCAGAAACAAAUGACGUGUGUGCGCAUGUUUGUAUAUAUUUAUCAAAGGAAGAAGUGGAUUUCCUGGUGACUAAUUCUCUUAAAUGCAAAGACCAGUCUAAUUAGCAUUAGCAGUAAAAGGGUUUGUCACAUCUUAAUUGACCAUUUUUGUGGUGUUCUUGAAACAACUGCUGCCUUCCUUUUUCUGGAAAGCAAUGGAAAAAGAACAAUUUGUUAUCAAGAAUCAGAUCCUAUAUGUUUCAAAGGUCAGGUUAACACAAGGUAGAACAGGGAGAACUUUUACUCUAAUUACCUGCCUGAGAAUAUAGUUGAGGAAAAACCUAUGAAUUUAAGGUAAAGCAUGAUUUGAAGAAGACACAGGUACAUCUGCUUUGGAGAGGCAGAAGGAGUCUGCAAGGCCUUUGGACUUGGUCAUGGGGAUUGGUACCACUAUGUUAUGCUUCUGGGAUCUCUAUGUCCUCACUUGCUGGAUCUGUGUUUUCAGUUUCUGAUUUCUCCUUCUCUGGAGCAUUGUCUUCCCUCUCGCUCUCAGAUGGCUGGUAGCAUCUGUAGCUGGGUCUACUGCAAGGAUGCAUCCAGCGGGAAGAAAACACGUAGGAGCACCGUGGUGCACACCGAGGCAUGGAUUUUGGAAUGAAUCUCUCUGCAGGUGACUCUGAGCACAGGGAUUCUGCUCCUAAAGUUGUUGGCAGGGUUGGGGCACCUCCCUCCAGGACUGCAGAAAUUCCCACUACUGUCUCCUGUGGGCACGUGCUGAGGAUUGGCCCUGGGAAUGUCACAAUGACGGGAGGGGGGUAUAUAAUGACUCUGGAGGUGCCGCAGGAUACAAUACAAGGGUCAUUGCAGCUGGUAGCAAGAGGCUUUGGGCACUGCACAUCGUAGAGUUGGGAACACUGUCCUGUGUCCCACACCCCACCAGAAGACAUCUGGGAGAACUGGUGACAAACCUGCAGGACAGAAUGGAGACCACAAGAGCUUGUCACAGAAUGCUUUCACCCCAUGCCCUGCCCAUCAUCCCACAGACCCCUGCACCUCAGGAAGGACUCCUGCUCCUCUCUCUUGUUCUCCUGGCAGGGAGGAUGAGGAGCUUAACAUGGCUAGGAAUGUUCUGCAUUGUGAUGGAGAAGGCACAAGUGGUGCAGCUCAGGUAUUUCAGUUAUACGGGCUUACAGGUAACAGAGAUGCUAUAGCAGAGGCAACAAGAAUGUGUGAUUUCAAGAAAUGAAGCUCACAGGCUUGUCCCCUUGCUCUACUUACCUGUAUCUCCAUCACCCUGAGUCCUUUUCACCCUGCCUCCGUGUUCCCGAAAAUGUCCAGGGCUAACUAAUCUCCAUCCCAUUUUAUCACUGCCGUCUCUUGCCCACAGGUCACUGUCACCUCUGCAGUACCUCUUUUUUCCUCUCCCAACUACAGAUCCUGUCUGGACAACCAUCAAGAACAACUGGAGAAGUUCUGUCUCCGUAGCUGCUGCUGAUGCUAUGAGGCUACUGAUCAUACAGAAAUGGGUACUUUAUAUCCCUGUACUGGAGUGUCCUUGCCUGGGAUUGAUUGUUUGUCUCAGUGAUAGGGCAUACCCAGCCCUCAUUAGGAUAAUCAUGUGUAAUAAGGUUCCUGUGCCUCUGAGAUUGUGCUGGGCAAUGUAUCAGUGCAAGGCUGGAGAGAUUCUCUGUCCGGAGAGGUUCAUGCAGACUAACAAGUCCAGUCAGACAGGACUGGGAGGAAAAAACAUCAUUGCGGCUCUGCAAGCUGAGCACCAGUGUGCAAGAGGUGGGAAGAUUUUAUUUUGGUGCCAUUCUGCAUGCUAGUCCUGACCUAGGAAAAUCUUGCCUUCAGGUGUCUCCAGAGGGUUUGCAGAGACCAUCUGUGACAAAGCCAAGACCUUAAUGGAGAUUUUUGGUUCUUACAUUUUUGCCCUAGACCCUGAAAUCAUCUUUUAGGUCAUUCAACUGGAACUAGUUGCAAAAAACGUGUUGUUGGAUUUAUCUAUUAAAGUUAAAAACUCCGUGAUGUAGAUGAUUACCUAUAAAGUAACCACUUAUGUCCCUGGAGAAAACCAGGCACUUCUAGAGUACAGUCCAGCUCAUUCAGAGCUUCAGCUGGAGGAUGUCAUUCUGCUUGGCAAUCCUCCCUCCUGUCUAGGUAUUGACCAGCUGCUGAGUGUCUGGCUCCAAUCCCCAUGUGUGACCAGAAGGCUAAGAAACACCACCUCUGAAGGAUGCCCGUUUACAGAAGAGAAGACUGGAAGGAGAUAAGAAGUCUGUGGAAAUCCUGCUUGGUCUGUUUGGUGUGCUGCAGAGGAAGCUGCGGAGAUAGGAGGAGGCUUUCCUGCUGGGAUUUGCCCUGCGAACUGGCUGAGCAGAGCAAGGCAGUGAAGCA